rnacentral:rRNA from 1 species
UACGAAGGGGGGCUAGCGUUGUUCGGAAUUACUGGGCGUAAAGCGCGCGCAGGCGGCUCUUCAAGUCAGGGGUGAAAGCCCAGAGCUCAACUCUGGAACUGCCUUUGAGACUGAAGAGCUUGAGUACGGGAGAGGUGAGUGGAAUUCCCAGUGUAGAGGUGAAAUUCGUAGAUAUUGGGAAGAACACCAGUGGCGAAGGCGACUUACUGGACACAUAUUGACGCUGAGGUGCGAAAGCGUGGGGAGCAAACAGGG